ACUUUGUUUGUCUGCAAACUGUCCUGUAUCAAUAGGGAUGAGAUUCGAGUAUGUGGAGCAGAAAUCUCAGUUGGUGGGAACUCCUGGAGGUUAUGCUCCACCAACACAAGUCAUUAAAUCAAGGAAGAAGAAAACACUGGAUGUAAGAAAAGGAGAUUCGACACAGGGUAAAGGAGAAGGGAUUUAUGGGGCGUGAGAAUGAGCAGCCCCCAAAUUACAGCUGAGUACCAGGUGUGGAGGCAGCCUGUCUUGUCGCAAAGUUCACAAGCCUCCAGGACAGAGGUCCUCACGCAGAUGAAACUGAUAGAAAUCCCAGUGCGUUCAGAAUAUGUCACAAUGGCUUUUCACAAGAUGGCGCCGAAGGCAAAGAAGGAAGCUCCUGCCCCUCCCAAAGCCAAGGCAAAGACUUUGAAGGCCAAGAAGGCAGUGCUAAAAGGUGUCCACAGCCACAAAAAAAAGAAGAUCCGUAUAUCACCCACCUUCCAGCAGCCAAAGACACUGCGACUCCGGAGGCAGCCCAAAUAUCCUCGGAAGAGCGCCCCCAGGAGAAACAAGCUUGACCACUAUGCCAUCAUCAAGUUCCCCUUGACCACUGAGUCUGCCCUGAAGAAGAUAGAAGACAACAACACACUUGUGUUCAUUGUGGAUAUCAAAGCCAAUAAGCACCAGAUCAAACAGGCUGUGAAGAAGCUCUGUGACAUUCAUGUGGCCAAGGUCAACACCCUGAUCAGGCCUGAUGGAGAGAAGAAGGCAUAUGUUUGACUGGCUCCUGAUUAUGAUGCUUUGGACGUUGCCAAAAAAAUUGGGAUCAUCUAAACCGAGUCCAGCUGGCUAAUUCUAAAUAUAUAUAUCUUCUCACCUUAAAAAAAAAAAAAAA